AGCGAACGCUGGCGGCAUGCUUAACACAUGCAAGUCGAGCGGGCACCUUCGGUUGUCAGAGGCAGACGGGUGAGUAACACGUGGGAACGUACCCAAAGGUUCGGAAUAACGCUGGGAAACUAGCGCUAAUACCGGAUACGACCGCAUGGGGAAAGGUGUACUGCCACAGGAUCGGAGCGCGUCUGAUACGCUAGAGGGUGGGGUAACGGCCUACACAGGCGCCGACGAGUAGCUGGUCUGAGAGGAAGAUCAGCCACACCGGGACUGAGACACAGCCCCGACUCCUGCAGGAGGCAGCAGUGGGGUAUAUUGGACGGCGGCCGCAUGCCUGAUCCAGCCCUGCUGCGAGAGUGAGGCAGGCCUUAGAGUAGUAAAGCUCUCUUGUCCGGGACGACAAUGACGGUACCGGAAGAAUAAGCCCCGGCUAACUACGUG
rnacentral:rRNA from 1 species